UACGUAGGGGGGCAAGCGUUGUUCGGAAUUACUGGGCGUAAAGCGCACGUAGGCGGCUUUGUAAGUUAGAGGUGAAAGCCCAGGGCUCAACCUCGGAACUGCCUUCGAUACUGCGGGUCUCGAGUCCGGGAGAGGUGAGUGGAAUUCCUAGUGUAGAGGUGAAAUUCGUAGAUAUUAGGAAGAACACCAGUGGCGAAGGCGGCUCACUGGCCCGGUACUGACGCUGAGGCGCGAAAGCGUGGGGAGCAAACAGG
rnacentral:rRNA from 1 species